GAUCACUCUAUUGUUCUGCCUCUGCCACUGCUCCUACCUGCUGGGAGUCUGCCUAGCUAUUCUGGAGCCUACACGUGGUCACCUGAAGCUGGCUCCAAGGAUGAUUUGUUCCGAGAUGCCUCCCAGGCUCGAACCCGGACAUGAGAGCCGCAGGCCGGCCCCAACCAUUUGGCGAACCAACUUGGGACUUAGGAAUGGCAGAGGACAUUUGGAAGAAACACUGCUGGUUUGGAGCUCCAUGGAAGAAGAAAAGAAUUAAAGAAAAUUCAUACCGGAGAAGGAAACACAGAGACAAAAAAUGGAGCAGACUGAAGGAAAGGCCAUCCAGAGACUGUCCCACCUUGUGAUUCUUCCCAUCUGCAGACACCAAACCCUGACACUAUUGCUGAUACCAAGACGUACUCCCAGACAGGAGCCUAGUAUGGCUGUCCUCGGAGAGGCUCUGCCAGCAUCUGACUAAGAUAGAUGCAGGUACUCACAGCUAACCAUUGGACUGAACCCAGCGACCCCAAUGGAUGAGUUAGGGAAGGACUGAAGGAGCCGAAGGGGCUUACAAUCCUAUAGGAAGAACAACAAUAUCAACUAAACUAAACGGAACCUCCAGAGCUCACGGGACAAAACCACAAUCAAAGAGUACACAUGGAGGGACCCAUGGCUCCAUCUGCAUAUGCAGCAGAAAGUUGUCUUAUCUAGCUUCAAUGGGAGGGGAGACUCUUGGUCUUAUGAAGGCUUGUUGCCCUAGCAUAGGGGAAUGCUAGAGGGGUGAGGUGGGAGUGGGUGGGUAGGUUGGGGAACACACUCAUAGAGGCAGGGGGUGGGAUGAGGUAGUUUGCAGAGGGAAGACUGGGGACUAGGGACAACAUUUGAAAUGUAAAUAAAUAAAGUAACCAAUUAAUUAAAAGGCGGGGGCUAUUAGACAUUCUUAUAUCAUCUAAAGGCCACCUGGAGCUCUGGGUUAUGUAAAUCCAAAGAGCAGGUGCUCUAGUCAAGAAAACAGGAACUCUUUGUUCAGGGAACAGCUUCAAAAGAAUGGUGAUUUAUAGAGGUAGAGGAUAUAUGUUAAUAGAGGACACUUGGCAUCUUCCUCUGGCUACUACACAUGCCCCGGGCACAUGCAGCAGCACGUACCCACUCACAGACAUAUUCACAUACAUGUAAAGAAGUAACUAAGUAGAUCCUUUAAAACUAAAACAAAGAGUUGAGUUACAGUUGAGUCUGUCAACUCAUUUACUGAAAGUCUUCUAAGAAAAGCACCAUUCUCAUAUAGAUAAUAAAGCCUCAUUUCUCUACCCCAGGUGGUCUCCAUUCUUUUUUUUUUUUUUUUUUUUUUAGCUCCUGGAUUCUAUGAUGUUCUUUUAGAAGUAUGUAGCUGCCUCUUGUGGAAGAUAGACAUGCAUGUUCUGACAGCUCAAAGAAAAAAUUAUUUAUGGAGAAUUGUUGCCAAACAGCCUGCUGUGGCUCUUAGAGCAUUUCUGUGUAUCUGUUGAGCCAGGCAGCUGCCCUGUCAUGCAGACUGAAUGUUUAAGUGCAUUGUGGUUGGCUUUGGUGGUUUGUAUGAAAAUAGCCUUUGUAGGCUCAUUUGGUGUGGCCAAGCUGGAGGAAGUGUGUCACUACUGGGGGGUGGGCUUUGAGGUUUCAAAUGCUCAAGCCAAGCCAAGCCAAGUGUCCCUCUUUCUUCCUGCUGCCUGUCAAUCCAAAUGUAGAAGUCUUAGCUACCUCUCCAGCAUCAUGUCUGCCUUCAUGCUGCCAUGCUUCCUACCAUGGUAAGAAUGGACUAAACCUCUGAAAUGUGAAGCCAGCCCAAAUAAAAUGUUUUCCUUUUUAA
rnacentral:lncRNA from 1 species